rnacentral:rRNA from 1 species
UACGUAGGGUGCAAGCGUUAAUCGGAAUUACUGGGCGUAAAGCGUGCGCAGGCGGUGAUGUAAGACAGGUGUGAAAUCCCCGGGCUUAACCUGGGAACUGCAUUUGUGACUGCAUCGCUGGAGUGCGGCAGAGGGGGAUGGAAUUCCGCGUGUAGCAGUGAAAUGCGUAGAUAUGCGGAGGAACACCGAUGGCGAAGGCAAUCCCCUGGGCCUGCACUGACGCUCAUGCACGAAAGCGUGGGGGAGC